GGGCCGGCUUUAGCUCAGCGGUUACUUCGUGACUUCAAUUCAUUGAUAACCCAGCCCCUUCGGGGGUUCGAGACCCGCGGGCGCUAUCUGGCCUUUUG
rnacentral:vault_RNA from 1 species